GUGAGAUGGUUCAACUUCCAGAGGCUUCCUCAUAAAUUUUUGGAAUUUUUGAGACACAGAUAAACUUCGGGUGAUCGAGAUCAACUAUUUUCCUGCAUCCAGCAGCCACAAUAGUCGACGGUGUACUGCCACAGGAGGAGUUAUUUUACAGAGCAACCUGUUUUCUUCCUCGCAGGUUUAACGUCGAUUAUUUAAUUGUAUUAUUAUUCUCUAAAUUUGUAAUUUAGGACUCCGCAUGUGCUAGUAGUAGCAUUAAGCCUGUCAGGGACUGUAUGAAUUCAAGUUUGCGUAUUAAUAAAUGAAAAGAAAAAUUUUACGAGUUUUAAA